rnacentral:tRNA from 4 species
GGGAUUGUAGCUCAGCUGGCUAGAGCGCACCCCUGAUAAGGGUGAGGUCGGUGGUUCGAGUCCACUCAGUCCCA